rnacentral:lncRNA from 1 species
GGGCGCUCGCAGAAAACUAAACAGGUGGAAUGUAAAGGAGGGAAAAUGGAAGAAGAACAGCAAAAAAAAAAGAGAAGAGGGAAGUUCUGGAACUAACCUAGGCUGGUCUGAGAGGUACAAAGAUGCAGAGAUGGGGAUCGACUCGAAGAACGCCUAAGGCUGAAAGGGAUGGAACUCUCGGGGAAGAAGAAGGGCACCAACAGGACUCUCAGGCAAAGUAAAAUCCCUGGAGGAGGGGAGCGGGUUUAAAUAGGCAACAGGACUCAGUGCAG